rnacentral:rRNA from 1 species
CCUACGGGAGGCAGCAGUGGGGAAUAUUGCGCAAUGGGGGCAACCCUGACGCAGCAACGCCGCGUGAUUGAAGAAGGCCUUCGGGUUGUAAAGAUCUUUAAUCGGGGACGAAUUUUGACGGUACCAGAAGAAUAAGCUCCGGCUAACUACGUGCCAGCAGGCGCGGUAAUACGUAGGGAGCAAGCGUUAUCCGGAUGUACUGGGUGUAAAGGGCGUGUAGGCGGGCAUGCAAGCCAGAAGUGAAAUCUGGGUGCUUAACCCCCAAACUGCUUUUGGAACUGCGUGUCUUGAGGGAUGGAGAGGCAGGCGGAAUUCCCAGUGUAGCGGUGAAUGCGUAGAUAUUGGGAGGAACACCAGUGGCGAAGGCGGCCUGCUGGACAUUAACUGACGCUGAGGCGCGAAAGCGUGGGGAGCAAACAGGAUUAGAUACCCUGGUAGUC